UACGUAGGGGGCGAGCGUUGUCCGGAUUUAUUGGGCGUAAAGAGCUCGUAGGUGGUUCGGUAAGUCGGAUGUGAAAUCUCCAGGCUCAACCUGGAGGGGUCAUUCGAUACUGCCGUGACUAGAGUUCGGUAGGGGAGUGUGGAAUUCCUGGUGGAGCGGUGAAAUGCGCAGAUAUCAGGAGGAACACCCGUAGCGAAGGCGGCACUCUGGCCCGAUACUGACGCUGAGGCACGAAAGCGUGGGGAGCAAACAGG
rnacentral:rRNA from 1 species